GCGACAUUUCCCGUAUUCUCAAACCCAAAGCUUGACAGGUAUGGGCAAGGAGAACUAAUGAACAUGAAUGAGUCAGUCAAAGCUGAAGCGAAAGAACACAUCAAACACUGUAGAUCUCUGACAUGGGGAGACCUACUUACCCAACAGUCGAACAAUGUUUGGAUGGUCAAAUUCGGCCAUGAGCGCCGCCUCUCUCUGGAAGUCGUUCUGCAUGUCAGCUGAGGCUUCCUCUUUCAGCAUCUUCACAGCCACCAUUGUGAAAGGUUCUGUUGGCAGGAGGCCCGGUGCUCUGCAAGUAUUGGAAUGCAUUCAUUAAUGAUUCAUACAGAUUGUUACAGAAUUUUGUGUUUUCUGUUUCUACAAAAUAAAUUAUCUAAUUUAUGCCCAUUUUGCCUAACACUAUGUUCUGUUUUAACAUUUUUACAUUUGCAAAAACUGCUGUAGGCACAGACAGAACUACUCUACAAAUUAGCUUGAAAUAACCUAAUUCAUAAAUAAAUAUUUGAAUGCUAAAAUCAUACAUGUAAUUUAAUAUAUUGCAAGGAUUCAUGAUACGACCUAUUUGAAUUAACUGUAUUUCUCAUAUCCGUUUUCGCCAGUUGACCAGUUCACCUUAUGACCCCUGCUUAAAUCAACAGACUGACUUGCUCAUUGCUCACUUCUGAUAGACUUGAUCACCAGGUUUGCUCUUUUAUCUGAUUUAUGAUUCCAGAUCAGAAAAGAAGAAAAAUAGUUCCAAAGAAUAAAGGUAUUUGCACCACUUUGUAAAAUCUUCCUAUGGGUAAAUUACAGAAUUGGAAAUAAAUUUGCCGUGAUGCUUACAAUCACAAACACUGAAAACAGCCUUUUAAGGUUCUUGGCCCAGUGUAUAUAUUGUGCACACUCUAUCCACUCUAUUUAAUUUCCGGCGUGGGUGUUGAGGUGGUUCUCCAAUCCUCUGUAUAUAAAAAAACUAAUAUAAUGAAAGAUUAGCGUUAUCAAGUUUCAGAGAAAGGAUGUGGUUUUCGAAUAAAGGCCAUUUCCAUUUCCUGGCAGGGGUUUUGGAUUGCUAUGACACGUGUUUGGUUUUGUUUUGUUUCAACACAGCCGAAUCAUAUGAUUGAAUUACCUCUUUAGCAAGUCUGGCACUGGCAUUGAGUUUGUAAAAGGAGUUUGCAAUAAGCCAUUCAUUUGAUUCAGGUGUAUUGGAGCAGAAUGCAUCUAAAACCUGCAGGGCAGUAGCUCACAAGCACUGGAUUUAGAAACUCCAGUGCUUAAGGGGCUUUAUAGGUAGGAAUUUUUUUUCAGUUCAAUUUUGCAUUUAAAUCUAUGUUUAACAGGUUUAAUUUCCAGCCACUCGGCUUCACUAGUUUAGUUUUCAAAAAUGAGUUUCUAUAGAAUAAUGAAGAUGGCAUCCACUGCCCUGCGAGAAGAGAAAUGCAGCUAAAUAUAUUUCAGGUUUUAAAUACACCCAGGUACAGCUUGAACAUCGUUGACAAAUCAGUUGUUGACAGAUUUAUGAUACUGUAGGAAUAAAACUGCCUUGUGACUCAGGUUUGGUUUUUGGUUUGAUGAAGGAUAUCAGUGUGAGACUAAUGCUAUCCUGCUGAGGGUUCAAGGUAAAGUGAAGGUGACUCCUAUAACAGCUCCCCUUGUGACUUUGUGAAUGACGCAUUGGUUCUCAAAAUGACCAGUAGCCUGGCUGAGCUAAGAUAACCUCUCAUCUGUCUUAAUCCUUCGCUCUUUCCUCUGUCUGAGAAAUGUAAACGUUAUCACGUAGAGCCCUCUUCUGCUGUCGGAAUAUUGCUUUAUUAUGUUGUUGUCCACUUGAACAGACGUUGUAGAAAGUACAUGUUGCCCUCUUUAUUGCUUUGAUCAUUCUG